rnacentral:rRNA from 1 species
UACGGAGGGGACUAGCGUUGUUCGGAAUUACUGGGCGUAAAGCGCGCGUAGGCGGAUUUGCAAGUCGGGGGUGAAAUCCCGAGGCUCAACCUCGGAACUGCCUUCGAUACUGCAAAUCUCGAGUCCGGAAGAGGUGAGUGGAAUUCCUAGUGUAGAGGUGAAAUUCGUAGAUAUUCGGAGGAACACCAGUGGCGAAGGCGGCUCGCUGGCUCAUUUCUGACGCUGAGGUGCGAAAGCGUGGGGAGCAAACAGG